GACGAACGCUGGCGGCGUGCUUAACACAUGCAAGUCGAACGGUGAAGCGCUUUCCUUUUUGGUUGGUGUGGAUGAGUGGCGAACGGGUGAGUAACACGUGAGUAACCUGCCCCCUUCUUCUGGAUAACCGCAUGAAAGUGUGGCUAAUACGGGAUAUUCUGCGCCUGCUGCAUGGUGGGUGUGGGAAAGAUUGUGCCUUUGGGUGUUUUCGGUGGGGGGUGGGCUCGCGGCCUAUCAGCUUGUUGGUGGGGUGAUGGCCUACCAAGGCGGUGACAGGUAGCCGGCGUGGGAGGGUGGUCGGUCGCAUGGGGACUUGGACACGGCCCAUACGACUACGGCAGGCAGCAGUGGGGAAUAGGGCGCAAUGGGGGCAAGCCUGAUGCAGCGACGCCGCGUGAGGGAUGGAGGCGUUCGGGUUGUGAACCUCUUUCGCCAGUGAAGCAGGCCUGCUCCUUGUGGGUGGGUUGACGGUAGCUGGAUAAGAAGCGCCGGCUAACUACGUG
rnacentral:rRNA from 1 species